CGCUGAUGCGUUGUUGGGUAGGGGAGCGUUCUGUAAGCCUGCGAAGGUGACCUGUGAGGGUUGCUGGAGGUAUCAGAAGUGCGAAUGCUGACAUAAGUAACGAUAAAGCGGGUGAAAAGCCCGCUCGCCGGAAGACCAAGGGUUCCUGUCCAACGUUAAUCGGGGCAGGGUGAGUCGACCCCUAAGGCGAGGCCGAAAGGCGUAGUCGAUGGGAAACGGGUUAAUAUUCCCGUACUUGGUGUUACUGCGAAGGGGGGACGGAGAAGGCUAUGUUGGCCGGGCGACGGUUGUCCCGGUUUAAGCGUGUAGGUGUGUGUUCCAGGUAAAUCCGGUUCACUUUAACACUGAGGCGUGAUGACGAGGCACUACGGUGCUGAAGCAACAAAUGCCCUGCUUCCAGGAAAAGCCUCUAAGCAUCAGGUAACAUCAAAUCGUACCCCAAACCGACACAGGUGGUCAGGUAGAGAAUACCAAGGCGCUUGAGAGAACUCGGGUGAAGGAACUAGGCAAAAUGGUGCCGUAACUUCGGGAGAAGGCACGCUGACACGUAGGUGAAGUGAUUUACUCAC
rnacentral:rRNA from 1 species